rnacentral:rRNA from 1 species
AUGAACGCUGGCGGCGUGCCUAAUACCUUCCAGUCGAGCGAACAGACGAGGAGCUUGCUCCUCUGACGUUAGCGGCGGACGGGUGAGUAACACGUGGAUAACCUACCUAUAAGACUGGGAUAACUUCGGGAAACCGGAGCUAAUACCGGAUAAUAUAUUGAACCGCAUGGUUCAAUAGUGAAAGACGGUUUUGCUGUCACUUAUAGAUGGAUCCGCGCCGCAUUAGCUAGUUGGUAAGGUAACAGCUUACCAAGGCAACGAUGCGUAGCCGACCUGAGAGGGUGAUCGGCCACACUGGAACUGAGACACGGUCCAGACUCCUACGGGAGGCAGCAGUAGGGAAUCUUCCGCAAUGGGCGAAAGCCUGACGGAGCAACGCCGCGUGAGUGAUGAAGGUCUUCGGAUCGUAAAACUCUGUUAUUAGGGAAGAACAAAUGUGUAAGUAACUAUGCACGUCUUGACGGUACCUAAUCAGAAAGCCACGGCUAACUACGUG